rnacentral:rRNA from 1 species
UACGGAGGGUGCAAGCGUUAUCCGGAUUCACUGGGUUUAAAGGGUGCGUAGGUGGGUUGGUAAGUCAGUGGUGAAAUCUCCAGGCUUAACUUGGAAACUGCCAUUGAUACUAUCAAUCUUGAAUACCGUGGAGGUCAGCGGAAUAUGUCAUGUAGCGGUGAAAUGCGUAGAUAUCGUUUGGAACGCCAACGGUGAAAACAGCUCGCUGGGGGUGUGCUGACGCUGAGACACGAAAGCCAGGGGAGCGAACGGG